AUUGAACGCUGGCGGCAGGCCUAACACAUGCAAGUCGAACGAGUGGCGGACGGGUGAGUAAUGUCUGGGAAACUGCCCGAUGGAGGGGGAUAACUACUGGCAACGGUAGCUUAUACCGCAUACCAUCGGAUGUGCCCAGAUGGGUUUAGCUAGUAGGUGGGGUAACGGCUCACCUAGGCGACGAUCCCUAGCUCGUCUGAGAGGAUGACCAGCCGCACUGGAACUGAGACACAGUCCAGACUCCUACGGGAGGCAGCAGUGGGGAAUAUUGCACAAUGAGCGCAAGGCUGAUGCAGCGAUGCCGCGCGUAUGAAGAAGACCUUCGGGUUUUAAAGUACUUUCAGCGGGGAGGCGUUACUCGCAGAAGAAGCACCUGCUAACUCCGUGCCAGCAGCCGCGGUAAUUC
rnacentral:rRNA from 1 species